UUGGACCAUAAUAAUCUGACUAAAUUACCCAAGUUUCCAAAAAAAAUCAGAUACAUAAUUGCAAGUUAUAACUUCAUUCAAACGAUUGAUGGAGCUUUCGAACACCUAACUGCACUUGAAAGCUUGGAUUUGGAUGGUAAUAGAAUAACGGUCAUCAAUAACGGAACCUUCAAAGACACAACGAAACUGAAAUAUUU